rnacentral:rRNA from 1 species
CCUACGGGAGGCAGCAGUGAGGAAUAUUGGUCAAUGGCCGGAAGGCUGAACCAGCCAAGCCGCGUGAAGGAGGAAGGCGCCAAGCAUUGUAAACUUCUUUUGUCAAGGGACAAAAUCAGGCUCGAGAGCGUGACUGAGGGUACUUGAAGAAAAAGCAUCGGCUAACUCCGUGCCAGCAGCCGCGGUAAUACGGAGGAUGCGAGCGUUAUCCGGAUUCAUUGGGUUUAAAGGGUGCGCAGGCGGACCGUUAAGUCAGCGGUAAAAUCGCGGGGCUCAACCCCGGCGAGCCGU